CUUUGCCUGCCAGAUGUACAACCUGCUGCUGUCCUACGACAGACAUGGGGACCAUCUGCAGCCCCUGGACCUUGUGCCCAAUCAUCAGGGUCUCACCCCCUUCAAGCUGGCUGGAGUGGAGGGUAACACUGUGAUGUUUCAGCACCUGAUGCAGAAGCGGAAGCACACCCAGUGGACAUAUGGACCACUGACCUCGACUCUCUAUGACCUCACGGAGAUCGACUCCUCGGGGGAUGAGCAGUCCCUGCUGGAACUUAUCAUCACCACCAAGAAGCGGGAGGUAUGGCUCAUGACAGCAGGCUGUGGCUGGGGAGGGGUGUCAGGGUCUCUGAGCCGCCUGUUCUCUUUCUGUUGCAGGCUCGCCAGAUCCUGGACCAGACGCCGGUGAAGGAGCUGGUGAGCCUCAAGUGGAAGCGGUACGGGCGGCCGUACUUCUGCAUGCUGGGUGCCAUAUAUCUGCUGUACAUCAUCUGCUUCACCAUGUGCUGCAUCUACCGCCCCCUCAAGCCCAGGACCAAUAACCGCACGAGCCCCCGGGACAACACCCUCUUACAGCAGAAGCUACUUCAGGAAGCCUACGUGACCCCUAAGGACGAUAUCCGGCUGGUGGGGGAGCUGGUGACUGUCAUUGGGGCUAUCAUCAUCCUGCUGGUAGAGAUUCCAGACAUCUUCAGAAUGGGGAUCACUCGCUUCUUUGGACAGACCAUCCUUGGGGGCCCAUUCCAUGUCCUCAUCAUCACCUAUGCCUUCAUGGUGCUGGUGACCAUGGUGAUGCGGCUCAUCAGUGCCAGCGGGGAGGUGGUACCCAUGUCCUUUGCACUCGUGCUGGGCUGGUGCAACGUCAUGUACUUCGCCCGAGGAUUCCAGAUGCUAGGUCCCUUCACCAUCAUGAUUCAGAAGAUGAUUUUUGGCGACCUGAUGCGAUUCUGCUGGCUGAUGGCUGUGGUCAUCCUGGGCUUUGCUUCAGGUAAUCAUCUGUCCAGGACCAGGGGCCAUGGCAGGGAGGAGAUGAGAAAAUCUAGGGGGCACUGGCUCUGGCUAAACUUGGGGAGGAGGAGUAAUGCAGAGAUCAGAGGAGACCUAUGGUAUCAGAGGAUGGGACGUCCUCCAGAGGUGAGAAAAAUCGGGAGUGUUAGGGAGAGGUGGCUCUUAGGAUCAAGAAGAUGAGGCUCAUAGAAAACUAGGGACCGUAAAAACCCAAAGUUUGGAGCAUUGCAGAGCUGGUGAUAUUGAGAUGAAGGGAUCAGGAUGGACAUGCACGCAGAGCCCGGGGUGGGCUGGUCGUCUGCAUGGUUGCUAUGGUAACCCUCACCCCCUUGGGUGGAGCAGCCUUCUAUAUCAUCUUCCAGACAGAGGACCCUGAGGAGCUAGGCCACUUCUACGACUACCCCAUGGCCCUGUUCAGCACCUUUGAGCUGUUCCUUACCAUCAUCGAUGGCCCAGCCAACUACAACGUAGACCUGCCCUUCAUGUACAGCAUCACCUAUGCUGCCUUUGCCAUCAUCGCCACACUGCUCAUGCUCAACCUCCUUAUUGCCAUGAUGGGCGACACUCACUGGCGAGUGGCACACGAGCGGGAUGAGCUGUGGAGGGCCCAGAUUGUGGCCACCACAGUGAUGCUGGAGCGGAAGCUGCCUCGCUGCCUGUGGCCUCGCUCUGGGAUCUGCGGACGGGAGUAUGGCCUGGGGGACCGCUGGUUCCUGCGGGUGGAAGACAGGCAAGAUCUCAACCGGCAGCGGAUCCAACGCUACGCACAGGCCUUCCACACCCGGGGCUCUGAGGAUUUGGACAAAGACUCGGUGGAAAAAUUAGAGCUGGGCUGUCCCUUCAGCCCCCACCUGUCCCUUCCUACGCCCUCAUUGUCUCGAAAUACCUCCCGCAGCAGUGCCAAUUGGGAAAGGCUUCGGCAAGGGACCCUAAGGAGAGACCUGCGUGGGAUAAUCAACAGGGGUCUGGAGGACGGGGAGAGCUGGGAAUACCAGAUCUGAUUGCGUGCUCUCGUUUUGCUUCCCGGAACUUGCUCUCAUUUUCCUGGGAGCAUCAAACAAAACAAAAACCAAACACCCAGAGGUCUCAUCUGCCAGGCCCCAGGGGAGAAAGAGGAGUAGCAUGAACUCCAAGGAAUGUACGUCGAGAAUCACUGCUCCAGGCCUGCGUUACUCCUUCAGCUCUGGGGCUUCGACGAAGCCCAGCCCAAGCAUGGGGCUGGCAGGGCGUGAGGAGCUCUCCUGCGGCCUGCUCAUCACCCCUUCCGACAGGAGCACUGCACAUCAGAGCACUUUAAAAACAGGCCAGCCUACUCGGGCGCUCGGUCUCCACCCCAGGGUCAUAAGUGGGGAGACAGAAGGCCCUUCCCAGGGCACCCAGGCAGGUGCAGGGAAGUGCAGAGCUUGUGGAAAGCGUGUGAGUGAGGGAGACAGGAACGGCUCCGGGGGUGGGAAGUGGGGCUAGGUCUUGCCAACUCCAUCUUCAAUAAAGUCGUUUUCGGAUCCC
rnacentral:sRNA from 1 species